AGCUCCGUGGUUUGAGGCAACGUGCUAUCGCUGAUGAGACAAAAACAAGGAGGGUCUCUGGCAGCAUCUGUUCAUUCAGGAAUAAGAAGCAACUCGGAAAAUAUAUCUGCAUGGAGGCUGACGAGGUGCAGGAAUGUGAAGAAGCAGUCAUGAUUCAUUCCAGAGCGUGCAUUGAUUACACGCCAAAUGAACAUACGUUGCAUGCUAAUUUCCUUCCCGGGUCCUCGAGAGCAAACACCACUGUGAGAGUACGCAGUGUAAACACCUCCAUAGCAAUAACACGUCGGUGCUGAGCCACCUGAGGUCCAUCACACUGCAGAAAAAGUAGAACUGCAUGUGACAAGCCGUGACAUUCAACUCCACUGGGACUUCCCUCUUGAGCCUUCCUCCGCACUCGAAUGCCAACAAAAUCCCCUCCACAACAUUCAAUUUGAAAUUUAGCUAAAAAGAUUUUAUUUGUAUUUCUUUAGCAUUUGGAAUUCAACCUCCUUGAUGACGAUAUUUUCAUUGUCACUAUUGCUGAAAAUCAUAAUGUGAAGGUGUUUAAAGUAAGAAGCUGCAGGGAAUUAUCAUCCGACUCUAUUUCCUCUGAGCUCUAUGGAACAUGUAGCUUCUUUACAUAACAUUGUUAUUGUUUUCCAGCCCACAACUUUGUUGCCUUUCUUCACUCCCACUGUUCUCAGCUUAAGAUGGUGGCUGGUUUUGUGCUCUGAAAACACACUAUAUGCUAACAUAUGCUAUAUGCUAACAACUUAUGACACAAUGGCAGACUAAAGUUAAAAUAGCAUUCACAAACUAAACAGCUUAAUUCAAACGUUUGAUAAGACCAAAAACAGAGCUGACACAUUAAAAAGCACAAGAAAGAGGUCGAUGUGAGUGGGGAUUGUUGCAUACCGGACGACAUUUAAUUAUGUCAAACAGCAACACCCGUCAAAUGCAGGACACAAAGUAAAAGCGGAACGUCUGGAAUCCUUCUGUACUUUCCGAGUGCACGCUAGAUACAAAUUUCUAAAUACACUCACAAUGUCUGAAAUAAGGUUAUGGAUUAAACGUUUAGCUCUGUGCUCCACUGGGGUCAUAAAGGUGAGGAAUGGUUUGAUCACUCAGGCAUAUAGAUUAUACAGUUUAAGAAUAGAAAAUACAACUGCUGAUUCAUAAUGAAUUAACCUUAAUGCGCUGGGCGGGACUGAGAUUAUUUAUACAUUCCACAAAUGCAAAGACAUUAGCUGAACGUGUGUGCUAAAAUAUUGUCUGUCCAAUUUCAAAAGAAGCAAUAUGGGGAUAGUGAACAACCACAACUGAAGAUAAGUAACUGUUCAUUCAGUAUGAUCAUCUUGAUGUGAACUCUGUGCAACCAUUAUGACGGCCAUUACUUCUGGUGCAUAACGUGACUAACGCAAAAUGUGUUCACCAUGUUUUUUCAUUCCCUGUUUGUUCACUGUUAAAAAGUGCUAAACAUAUCAGUCGUGUUGUGAUGUUCAAUUCAGGGUACAAAUGUAUUGCACAUAUAACAAUAUAAGCAUCAGUGCAUGGAAACAUCGACGUACAAUCCCUAUGAAAUGUUGAGUCAUCCUGCACACUUGCCUACUGACCAAGUUACCGCUGCCAUGGCAACCAGAUCAGAAUUGUCCUUUUCCUUUAGUCUAUUUUUAUGAACGAGCUGUGUGGGGAGAACAAGCAGAUGUUGAUGAAGGACUUUUCACAUUCAUCUUUUCCUUUUUCUGCAGUAAGGUCAAUAUUAUAUCUGUCAUGCUAUGCAAAGGUCUUUUACCUGAUUCAGUUUAGCUUCUUGUCCUAAUUCCUGUUUCAUAACAAAUGUCAUUCAUUCGGUAAUACAAGAUGCACCUCAGAGUAACAAGCGCUAACUCUCAGUGGUAAACUGUGUUUCUGUGCAUUACUAUCAUUAUGUAACCUUUGCUUAAAAAUGACUUCUUACCACUGGUAUUAACCAUGGACCCUACAGCACCUGUAUUGAUUGACACUUCAUCAGUUAGUGAAGCUGAUAUCCCAUAAAGUGAAAACGCAACUG
ensembl:lncRNA